rnacentral:rRNA from 1 species
AACGAACGCUGGCGGCAUGCCUAACACAUGCAAGUCGAACGAGACCUUCGGGUCUAGUGGCGCACGGGUGCGUAACGCGUGGGAACCUGCCCUUAGGUUCGGAAUAACUCCCCGAAAGGGGUGCUAAUACCGGAUAAUGUCUUCGGACCAAAGAUUUAUCGCCUUUGGAUGGGCCCGCGUUGGAUUAGCUAGUUGGUAGGGUAAAAGCCUACCAAGGCGACGAUCCAUAGCUGGUCUGAGAGGAUGAUCAGCCACACUGGGACUGAGACACGGCCCAGACCACGGGGGGGGGGAGGAAGGGGGAAAGAGGGGAAAGGGGGUGAAAGGUGAAGGAGGCAUGUCCGGGGGAGUGUGAAAGGCGUAGGGGUGGAAAAGCUCUUUUACCGGGGAGGGAAAGGAGGGGACGGGGGGAAGAGGGGGGGGGAAAUCCGGG